UAUCUGAUUUUUGCAACUCCAGCAAACCCACUGGUAAUUCCCUUCCUCUCAUAUGGCGAUUUACGGCAAGAGACCACCGCCUUCACUCGUCGCUUAUUUUUGGGGCUAUUAGGGUUCGUCGAGCAAGUCCAGUGAGUUCAGUUGUAAGACGGCGACAACGGUGGCGGCCACGGUUCCUUUGGCCUCCGGUCUCUUCGUAUCAAGCACAUCUCUCUCUUUAGGCGUCAAUUUCAUUUUGGGUAUCACCUGGAGAAGGAACCGGUGCGAGUGUGCGACAAUGUCGGAUGAUGAUGAUGAUCAAGUGGACAGUGAUGCGAAUUUGUUUGAUGGGAUGGGUUGCAGUGCUGGAUUGAUCUCUAUUGAUCUUGCCAAACAGCUGAAUAUAUAUAGUUGAAUGCUUAGAGAGUUGCUUGGCAAAGGAAUGUGAAGAUGGAUGUUGCUGAUAGCCUGAUACUACUUGGAAGCUAGAUGAAGCUGGAUUUUUGAAGACAGUAGAUCUGUUUUUGUGUAGUGUAGAACUGUAGAUUUUGCUUUUGUUUUGUUUUAUACUUUUAUGUAUGGUUUAAGGCUUAGAGUUCAUGUUUUGCACAAAUGGAACAUAAAUGUUAUUGAGUUUUGAACAUAGUAAUUAUUUUGACCGCCUGCACGCCGCGAAGCGAUCCCGCGGUUUAAAUCCUAGU
rnacentral:lncRNA from 1 species